AUGAAUGUUUUGGUUGGUUUGUGUGUUUCACCUAGAUUACUGGGCUGUGAUAGAAGCUUUAGACAGAUGGCUGAGGACACCACAGAAGAGAAUGGAAUCUUUCUGAAGGAGGGACCCAUAACCUUUCACCAGGGCAAGAAGUUUCUGCAGAACACGUGCUGGCUUAUUCAGGAAGAUCCUGCUGGGCCUGUUUGGGUGUCCUGGAGGGCAGUGCUUUGGGCCUGGGUCUUCAACUUGCCUUUGGGAUUUUGGUCAUCAGAAGUGAUCCUCAAUUUAAUGCACUUCAAUGGCUGGGAGACCAGGUUCAGUGAAGAAUAUCAUUGCUUUUCAGCUCGUAUCAAUUUUCAUGGGGAGGAAUGAGAGUGUCAGUGUUGGGGGAGGUGUAGAGGAUGAAAAUGUGAGUCCAAGAGAGGAGCCAGUAUAUAUGUCAGUUUGACUCUAAGAAGAGAAUUUGAUCCCAUCAGUAAAGGAAACAGCAUCAAUCUCUUGCCCAUUGAUUAUUAUAUUUGGAAAUUGGAAUGAAAUAGGGGUUGGGGAGGAAGGCUCAGAAGACCCCUUGUGGCUUAGUACUGAUGGGAUAAUAGAUUUGUAGUACAUUUAAAUGUAUUCCUGAAAUAGCCUGUGUUUAAAUAUCCACUGAGUACCUACACUGUAUCAGCUAUCCUUGGGAUGCUAAGAGCUUAAUUCAGAGGCCUGCAAU
rnacentral:lncRNA from 1 species